UACGUAGGGUGCAAGCGUUAAUCGGAAUUACUGGGCGUAAAGCGUGCGCAGGCGGUUGUGCAAGACAGAUGUGAAAUCCCCGGGCUCAACCUGGGAAUUGCAUUUGUGACUGCACGGCUAGAGUGUGUCAGGGAGGGGGUAAGUAUCCACGUGUAGCAAGUGAAAUGCGUAGAGAUGUGGAGGAAUACCGAUGGCGAAGGCAGCCCCCUGGGAUAACACUGACGCUCAUGCACGAAAGCGUGGGGAGCAAACAGG
rnacentral:rRNA from 1 species